rnacentral:lncRNA from 1 species
CUCCCCUCCCGCUGGGCGCUGAGGCGGGCGAAUGAGAGAGUCAUGCAUCCAUUAAUGAACUCCGCGCGCAGGAGUUCCAGCGGGCACCAGGCUGGCGUUUCCUCUCCGCCCCUCUCUUCUCUUCUCUUCCGUGCAGUGCUGGUCACUGGGACUGAUUAAUGAAUCAUGAGGUGGCUGCUGUUAAUGCAUUUAUCUGGGGCAGACUCCAUCGCUGCCUUCCGUUUGCCUUAGUGCGGUGGUGGGGUGAAGCGAGCGGCAGAACGGGCGAAGCUCCUUCCCGGGUGUAUUUCCCCCCCCCCUCCGCAUCUUUGCCUGCGCGCCCAGCACCUGCAAGGCGACCCCCGCUGUCUCUUUUUGCUGCCAGCCGGGCACCGACCGCGCUCCUGGAGCUGAAGAACCGUCUCUGCCCAUGGGUCCUCCUGGGGAGGUUUUAUUUCAUACAAAAAGAAACGUCACACUGUGGAAUGAUGCCCUGAGCCCCUUCUGUCACUAUACAGUUGCUGGAGUCAUUGUCCAGUAUUUCCAAUAUUCCUAACAACAGCUAAACUAUAAAUCCAGGUAAGUGUAGCUUUGAGCCAAAUAGCUCUCUCUCCUGCACUUUUCUUUUCAUGAAGUCCCAAGAGUUAACAAAAAAUUUUUAAGAAAAUGGAUAAAAAGUAAAUCCAUUGUCACAUACAGUUGGGUUUUUUUGUUUUUGCACAAGCCAGAUCUCCAAAGCUCAUGGUUAUUUGCAGUAAGGCAUUUUAAAUGUUACAAAGGUCUGGAAAGUUUGAUUUCCAGAUGAAAAACAAUGUCAGUAUUUACUGAUUUUAUACAACACAUAAACUAUGUAUUACUACCUUCUGGUCUAGAAGUCAUCCGAUUAGAGAAUGUUUGCAUUUUUCUACAUUUACAAAAAUAUUUUAACUGAAGAAGAAUGUCAUGGUCUAAUAUGUACACGAGAGACAGAUUAUUGGAAGUACUUAUAAGUAACAGUCGGAUAAAUUAGAUGUUAAAAACGCAUAAGAUAUUUAAAACAAAUGGAGUAUGUAUAUGGGUACAAAUUUCAGAUUUAUGAUAGAAUAGCGUAUACAAAGAAAUACAUAAAUAUUCUCUCAGCAUCAAACAUGUUAACUUAGAAUAUCAGUGGCUGAACUGGAAAAAAUGCUUGGCUAUAGAUAAUGGAAUUUGAUAAAAACGAAAAGAAUGGAAUCCCACGCUACUGUAGGAAUUGACUUGUUUUAGGCUGCAAUCUUGUCACCUACAUGGAGUAGUAAGCCCCACUGAACUCAACGCAACUUAAUUUUGAGUUCAGCGCAGCUUAUUCCUUCACACAUAAAGAUCAAGACAAGCAACAUUCAUCUAAAUGCAAAGAGGCCAGUUUAUUAUAUAUUAAAAUUGUAUUUACUUGAAACUGCUACGUGAGACGUGCUAGGCUUACUUUAAAAUAAAUUGCUAAUAAUUUGUAUGUAUCCCA